rnacentral:rRNA from 1 species
UACGGAGGGUGCAAGCGUUAUCCGGAUUCACUGGGUUUAAAGGGUGCGUAGGUGGGAAUGUAAGUCAGUGGUGAAAUCUCCGUGCUUAACACGGAAACUGCCAUUGAUACUAUGUUUCUCGAAUUAUCUGGAGGUCAGCGGAAUAUGUCAUGUAGCGGUGAAAUGCUUAGAUAUGACAUAGAACACCAAUUGCGAAGGCAGCUGGCUACAGGUGGAUUGACACUGAGGCACGAAAGCGUGGGGAUCAAACAGG